UGCGCGGCGGCGGCGGGGUGGCUGGGCCGGCGGCGGCGGCGGUACGAGGCGCGCGCUCGGGGUCCCGGUCGCGAGGAGGAGGAGGAUGUGGCGCGCGGAGGGGAAAUGGCUGCCGAAAACAAGCCGGAAGGACACAUUCAGCUCUCUAAUGUGGAGGAGAGUGCACAGUUGGGAGAAGGAGACUUGCAUGACAUGAUUACAGGUGAAGAGGUGUCUGCUAACCCAGACUUUUAUGUUUAAGAGCGUUUCCCAAAGUGUAUUCUGCGGAACUAGCACCUACUGUGUUCUCAACACCGUGCCUCCUCUAGAAGAUGAUCAUGGGAACAGCAAUAGUAGUCAUGUAAAAAUCUUUUUACCGAAAAAGCUGCUUGAAUGUCUGCCGAAAUGUUCAAGUUUACCCAAAGAGAGGCACCGUUGGAACACUAAUGAGGAAAUUGCAGCUUAUUUAAUAACAUUCGAGAAGCACGAAGAAUGGCUAACCACCUCCCCUAAGACAAGACCACAGAAUGGCUCAAUGAUCCUCUACAACAGGAAGAAAGUAAAAUACAGGAAGGAUGGAUACUGCUGGAAAAAGAGGAAAGACGGCAAGACGACCAGAGAGGACCACAUGAAGCUGAAGGUCCAGGGAGUGGAGUGCUUGUACGGCUGCUAUGUCCAUUCCUCCAUCAUCCCCACCUUCCACCGGAGGUGCUACUGGCUCCUUCAGAACCCCGACAUCGUCUUGGUGCACUACCUGAACGUCCCAGCCAUCGAGGACUGCGGGAAGCCCUGCGGCCCCAUCCUCUGCUCCAUCAACACCGACAAGAAGGAGUGGGCGAAAUGGACGAAAGAGGAGCUCAUCGGGCAGCUGAAGCCCAUGUUCCACGGCAUCAAGUGGACCUGCAGCAAUGGAAACAGCAGCUCAGGCUUCUCCGUGGAGCAGCUGGUGCAGCAGAUCCUCGACAGCCACCAGACCAAGCCACAGCCUCGGACCCACAACUGCCUCUGCACGGGCAGCUUGGGCGCGGGCAGCAGUGGGCACCACAAGUGCAACAGUGCCAAACACCGUAUCAUCUCGCCGAAGGUCGAGCCGCGGACAGGGGGGUACGGGAGUCACGCGGAGGUGCAGCACAACGACGUGUCGGAGGGCAAGCACGAGCACAGCCACGGCAAGGGCUCGAGCCGCGAGAAGAGGAACGGCAAGGUGGCCAAGCCCGUGCUCCUGCACCAGAACAGCACGGAGGUCUCCUCCACCAACCAGGUGGAGGUGCCCGACACGACGCAGAGCUCCCCCGUGUCCAUCAGCAGCGGGCUCAACAGCGACCCGGACAUGGCGGACAGCCCCGUGGUCACCGGCGUGUCCAGCAUGGCCGUGGCCUCCGUGAUGGGCAGCUUGUCCCAGAGCGCCACGGUGUUUAUGUCUGAGGUCACCAACGAGGCUGUGUACACCAUGUCCCCCACCACCGGCCCCAAUCACCACCUCCUCUCGCCCGACGCCUCUCAGGGCCUCGUCCUGGCCGUGAGUUCCGACGGCCACAAGUUCGCCUUCCCCACCACGGGCAGCUCGGAGAGCCUGUCGAUGCUGCCCACCAACGUGUCCGAAGAGCUGGUCCUCUCCACCACCCUCGAUGGCGGCCGGAAGAUUCCAGAGACCACCAUGAACUUUGACCCCGACUGUUUCCUCAAUAACCCAAAGCAGGGCCAGACGUACGGGGGCGGAGGCCUGAAGGCGGAGAUGGUCAGCACCAACGUGCGGCACUCGCCGCCAGUGGACAGGGGCUUCGGCUUCACCACCGUCCUCACCAAGGAGAUUAAGACCGAGGACACCUCCUUCGAGCAGCAGAUGGCCAAAGAAGCGUACUCGUCCUCGGCGGCGGCCGCGGCGUCCAGCUCCCUCACCCUGACCACCGGCUCCAGCCUCCUGCCGUCGGGCGGCGGCCUGAGUCCCAGCACCACGCUGGAGCAGAUGGACUUCAGCGCGAUAGACUCCAACAAGGACUACGCGUCCAGCUUCAGCCAGACGGGCCACAGCCCCCACGUGCACCAGACCCCGUCCCCAAGCUUCUUCCUGCAGGACGCCAGCAAGCCCCUCCCCCUCGAGCAGAACGCCCACGGCAGCCUGAGCGACUCCGGGGGCUCCUUCGUGAUGCCCACGGUCAAAACGGAGGCCUCGUCGCAAACCAGCUCCUGCAGCGGCCACGUGGAGACGAGGAUCGAGUCGGCUUCCUCCCUCCACCUCAUGCAGUUCCAGGCCAACUUCCAGGCCAUGGCUGCGGAAGGGGAGGUCACCAUGGAGACCUCGCAGGUUGCCGAAGGGGGCGAGGGCCUGAUCAAGUCUGGAGAGCUGCAGGCCUGUAGCUCCGAGCACUACCUGCAGCCCGAGAACACGGGGGUGAUCCGCGGCGCCGGUGGGGUCCCCGUCCUCCCGGGCAACGUGGUGCAGGGCCUCUACCCCGUGGCCCAGCCUGGCCUGGGCAACGCCUCCAACAUGGAGCUCAGCCUGGACCACUUUGACAUCUCCUUCAGCAACCAGUUCUCCGACCUGAUCAAUGACUUCAUCUCUGUGGAGGGGGGCAGCGGCACCAUCUAUGGGCACCAGCUGGUGGCGGGGGACGGCGCGGCGCUCUCCCAGUCGGAAGACGGGGCCCGUGCACCCUUUGCCCAGGCGGAGAUGUGCAUCCCCUGCUGCAGCCCCCAACAGGGGAGCCUACAGCUGAGCGGGGCUGAGGGCGGGGCCGGCACCAUGGCCUACAUGCACGUGGCCGAGGUGGUCUCCGCCAGCCCCGCGCAGGGCGCGCUGGGGAUGCUGCAGCCGAGCGCACGGGUGUUCAUGGUGACUGACUACUCCCCGGAGUGGUCGUACCCGGAGGGAGGAGUGAAGGUUCUCAUCACAGGCCCGUGGCAAGAAGCCAGCAAUAAUUACAGCUGCCUGUUCGACCAGAUCUCAGUGCCUGCAUCCUUGAUUCAGCCCGGGGUUCUGCGCUGCUACUGCCCAGCCCAUGACACUGGUCUUGUGACCCUACAAGUUGCCUUCAACAACCAGAUCAUCUCCAACUCAGUGGUGUUUGAGUACAAAGCUCGGGCCCUGCCCACACUCCCUUCCUCACAGCAUGACUGGCUGUCACUGGACGAUAACCAGUUCAGGAUGUCCAUCCUGGAGCGCCUGGAGCAGAUGGAAAGGAGGAUGGCGGAGAUGACGGGGUCCCAGCAGCACAAGCCGGGCAGCGGAGGAGGCGGCAGCGGAGGGGGCAGCGGGACUGGGAACGGAGGGAGCCAAGCUCAGUGCGCUUCUGGCCCUGGGACACUGGGGAGCUGCUUCGAGAACCGUGUGGUGGUCGUGUGUGAGAAGAUGAUGAGCCGAGCCUGCUGGGCCAAGUCCAAGCACUUGAUCCACUCGAAGACCUUCCGUGGGAUGACCCUCUUGCACCUGGCUGCCGCGCAGGGCUACGCCACCCUCAUCCAGACCCUCAUCAAAUGGCGCACAAAGCAUGCAGACAGCAUUGAUUUGGAACUGGAAGUUGACCCCUUGAAUGUGGACCACUUCUCCUGUACCCCUCUGAUGUGGGCCUGUGCUCUAGGGCACUUAGAAGCGGCUGUCGUUCUGUACAAGUGGGACCGUCGGGCCAUCUCUAUCCCUGACUCCCUAGGAAGGCUACCUUUGGGGAUUGCCAGGUCAAGGGGUCAUGUGAAAUUAGCAGAGUGUUUGGAGCACCUGCAGAGAGAUGAACAGGCGCAGCUGGGGCAGAACCCCAGAAUGCACUGUCCUCCGAGCGAGGAGCCCAGCACGGAGAGCUGGAUGACCCAGUGGCACAGCGAAGCCAUCAGCUCUCCAGAAAUACCCAAAGGAGUCACCGUUAUUGCAAGCACCAAUCCAGAGCUGAGAAGACCUCGUUCUGAACCCUCUAAUUACUACAGCAGUGAGAGCCACAAAGAUUAUCCAGCUCCCAAAAAGCAUAAAUUGAACCCUGAGUACUUCCAGGCAAGGCAGGAGAAGCUGCUGUCCACUGCACUGAGUCUGGAACAGCCAAAUAUCAGGAAGCAGAGCCCUAGUUCUAAGCAGUGUGUCCCCGAGACAAUCAGCCCCAGUGAAGGAGUGAGGGACUGCAUCCGGGAAACCUCCCCUCCCACUCCAGAGACUGCAGGAUUCCAAGCCUCUGGAUCUCAGCCUGUAGUAAAGUGGAAUUCCAAAGGUCUUUACAUUGGUGUGUCUACAGUACAGGUGACUGGAAAUCCGAAGGGGACCAGUGUAGGAGAGGAUGCAGCACCUUCACAGGUGCGUCCUCGGGGGCCCACGAGUGUCCUGAUGAUGGCUAACAGAGAGGUGGUGGAUUCAGAGAUGGGGUCCUACCGCGAUAGCGCAGAGCGCGCGGAAUGCUCACAGCCCAUGGAUGAGAUACAGGUGAACAUGAUGACCUUGGCAGAGCACAUCAUUGAAGCCACACCUGAUCGAAUUAAACAGGAGAGUUUUGUGCCCACGGAGCCCUCGGCAUUGGAAAGACCAGACACUGCCACCAUCAGCAGUACCAUGAGCUGGCUGGCCAGUUACCUAGCCGAUGUCGACCGUCUGCCAAGCGCUGCCCAGAUCAGAAGUGCAUAUAACGAGCCUCUCACCCCUUCUUCUAAUACCAGCUUGAGCCCUGUUGGCUCCCCAGUCAGUGAAAUGGCUUUUGAGAAACCCAGCCUUCCCUCAGCAGCAGACUGGUCAGAAUUCCUGAGUGCGUCUACCAGUGAGAAGGUGGAGAAUGAAUUUGCUCAGUUGACUCUUUCUGAUCAUGAGCAGAGAGAGCUCUAUGAAGCCGCCAGGCUCGUCCAGACUGCUUUCCGGAAAUACAAGGGCCGACCCUUGCGGGAGCAGCAGGAAGUGGCCGCCGCUGUCAUUCAGCGUUGUUACAGAAAAUACAAACAGCUGACAUGGAUAGCCUUGAAGUAUGCACUUUAUAAAAAGAUGACACAGGCUGCCAUCCUAAUCCAGAGUAAAUUCCGAAGUUACUACGAACAAAAAAAAUUCCAGCAGAGCCGGCGUGCUGCUGUGCUGAUCCAGAAGUAUUACCGGAGUUAUAAGAAGUGUGGCAAGAGACGGCAGGCUCGCCGAACAGCCGUCAUCGUGCAACAGAAACUCAGGAGCAGUUUGCUAACCAAAAAGCAGGACCAAGCUGCUCGAAAAAUAAUGAGGUUCCUCCGCCGCUGCCGCCACAGCCCCCUGGUGGACCAUAGGCUGUACAAAAGGGAAAUGAAUAUUUUUGGAACACAGUGGUGUGUGUUAAAUUGCAGACAACAUGCUCUGUGUCAUUCUUAUUGGGCCUCUCUGUCUUUUUUGUUUUGCAAUCCAAAUGAGAUUUCUGGAAAAUGGCAAGAUCUCUCUUUUCCUAAAUUCCCCACGAGCUAUUGCAGCUCUCAGAGCAACAGGUAACUCAUCAGAAAGCCGCAUCUGGCUGCCCUGUAUAUCUUUGACGUCCAGCAUUGCAAGAAUAUACCUGCUGAAAUCCACUGACUCAUGAAACAUUUCUCUGGCUGAGCGUUCCUGAGUAGAUGGAAUGAAGCCGCUUUGCCUUAUGCUUUACCCACGGAGCCAUUGUUUGCUACAAGUUCCGGAAGCAGACCCACUUCAUGUGUUCAUGAAUUCUCAUUGGACGUCUGACGGGAAUAAACCCUGUGGGCUUUGCUGGCUUUCAGUGCUGUUGCUUCCUACAUCACUUCGGUACAUUAGAAUGCAACAUUUGUUUUUUUGGUUGUUGUUGUUUUUUCUUUGGUUUUUUUUGGGGGGGUUGGUGGUUUUUUGGGGGGUUGGCGUUUCGUUUUGUUUUGUUUUUCUUGUUGUUAAGACUGCAGCCGUAUCCCAAGGUGGCGAUUCUUUUCAGCCUAGAACACUCGGGCAAAUCCUGGGGUUGUCUCCCAUCCCUGUUGAAUGGUCACAGGUCAAAGUCUUGCUGCCCUAAUUACCUCAACUCCAAGCCAGUCCUAGGAGUACCAUUUUCCACGGUGCUGACCGGAGGCUGAGAAAUGAUCUCCUGGCAGCUCUCCAUACGGUAGCGAGAGCCAUCGAGCUGCAGAAGUUGUAGUCUCUGUCCCAGUUAACUGUCUGUCCCAUCCCACGGAAGGCUGCUUUGCCCGUCUUCUGUGGGGUGAAGUUCAGAAGCAAGUGCAAUUAUAGUGGGGUUUGUUUUUAGAUGACCAGGACAUCCUUAGGUUAGGUUCUCUCUUGGCUCUGAAUGAAUCUCACAGGUAUAACUCCUUUAGAGAGCCAAAACCUCAGUAAGCAUUAGCUGCCUGUAGAUAGCACACACCACGGGACGGAAGUCUAUCAAACAUCUGUAUUCUAAGUUCUAUGAAUACGGUGACUGGAUCUUCAAGUAUAAUUCCAGCUUUAAAAAUUCUGGUCUCUAUUUGCCAGUAAGUGUGCUGAAAACAGUAGGCUCUUAAUACAGGAAGUAUCAACAGCAGUUGAGUCCGUUGAUGUUGGUUUGGGACCAUAAAAUAAUUUUUUUUUUCCUCCACUGAAUUUUUCAGUUGGGUGUUUUGUGUCAUGUGAUUGCAACAUUUGUGAGAUGUCAUCGUAGUAAAAGAUGGAUAGAAAAACAUAAACUCUUUUUUUUUUUUUCGGAGAAUGACAAGCAGGAGUAAUUAUUACAGAAGUACACUCCUUGUAGCACAUUUUGGAAAUAUAAAUAACAAGGAGAAAAACGCACAGAGUGAAAGAGUUGAGAAAGGCCAAGGAACUUGAAGACAUACAGCAGCAUCCCUUAGCAAUGUGACAUUGCUUUUCAGACUGUUUUCAUUUCUGUUUUUAGCAGAGACAUGCAACGACACACACGCACGCACACACACGCACACACACACACAAUCCCUCUGCAGUUUUGGGGAGAUCAGCUGCAGGAUUUUAACAGGAAUGUGUUGGUCAUUGCAUUUGCACUUUCAUGGACAACUUUUAAUUUGAUCAGCAAGACAUCUUGGAACUCAAUCUUCUGUUGGAUCAUGGGAAAACAAGACACCACGAGGAAUUGAGAGAGGCUUCCUCUUCUUAGGAAGAAGCCGGUUUCCUUCUCAUAUAGGGCUGUAUUCAAACAUCGUGUGGAACUGUACAAAUAUUUAUACCAAAAAUAUAGACAAGCAAAGGUGGGGAUGCACUAGCAACAAAAGAGAGUGCUGCUCCUGCACCUGUCAGUUACUUCCAAGAAGCUGAAUCUUUGGGAUUGAUUCUCAGUGGAGGGCUUAGAUCAUACAAAUCUUUAUUGGGUCCGUGUGUUCUCAUUUCCUUCACUGAUCUUAUUUUAUUUUAAUUUGUGUUUGUUUUAAUCUCUACAGCACACUUAAUGCAACUUUUAAAAUCUGCAGGUUUUUAAUGUCUUGUGGAAAUUUGCAGAGGGGCGGGUGUGUGGUAAACGGGUAAUGCAUGGGAACUAAUGAGAAACAGCUUACAGAGUUUAAAUUUAUUUUCUUGUCCCCACCACCUCCCAAGAACCUGCGAGUAUAAUGAUCAUCUUGUCCCUUUUGUCAUGCUCAGCACUUUAAUUUUUGGGCCUUACUUUCAUGUGCAAUGAGAUUUACGUAGAGAAUUGGUAUAGCAUGGAGCUUUUUUUAGUAACCUUGGAAACUGUAGUCAUUCUAAGGAAUCACAAACCUUGCCUGGACAUUUGCCACCUAAAAGAUCAGUGUGGUGCUGCGUUCUGGCCAGUAAAUUCCAUAUUUUUGGCUAUAAUCUCAUCCAAACUGAGCAGUUUCUGUGUAUAUAUAAAAGGUAGAAUCGGAAAGUGAGAAAAUAUUUGAAAGGGAUUAUAUUAAUUGCUAAAUAUUUUAUUCACAAAGGUCAAUAACAUGGCAAGAUAAAAUUAUUUGUAUAGUUUUGUCUGAACGAGCGAGAAAAAAUGUGGAUGUAUUGUUUGUAUAUAUUGUAUAUAUUAAAACAAAGAGAUAUGUGCAUGAAAUCAAGAAAAAAGAAAUGAACAAAAGCAAAGCAUUAGUGGCUAUGGUCUGUAAAAUGAAACAAAAAAAAACUUUAUUUCACUAUAAGAGUACUUUAUUUUAAAUGUUCUUUAGAAGAACAUUUUGCUAAAGCAUGACUAAGCUGCAAAAAACAAAAAACAAAAAAAAAGAGCUACUGUAUUUAGACUUAGGAUAAAAGGCAGAGUAACAUUACUUAAAAAAAAAAAAAAAAAGGAUAUGUUUACAUUUAAUUUUGGCUACCAGGAGUUUAUUUUAUUUAAUUUAAAAUUUUUUUGCCAACGGUGCCAAGUAAUGUGAAUGCUAAUAUUGCUUAAGAAAAUUAAGUUACUUUUGCUAAACAGAUAAUCAUAAGAUGAAUCCGUAUAUAGCUUAACACCAUCCACUCACUCCAACAAAGAACACUUAGAACGAUCAAAACCUGACAAAAGAAAUGGUAUGACAAGUAGGAAAACGUCUCACGUUUUUCAUAUCUCCUGCUGGAAAUCAGAAAAUGGAACAAAAAUUGCACAAAAAAUAACUAAAAAUUUAAAAGAUGCAAACUGGUCUUGUAGGGUUGUCAUGGUCUGUUACUCUUUCCAUAUAACGAGGAGCCAAAGAAAUCUGAUGCUUUUAAAAAUUAAACUACUAACGUUAAAUUGAGAGAAUAAAGUUCGAAUUUGCUGAUGCCAGUUUAAAAUUCCCAGGUAAAGUUUCAGGAUCAGUUGGUGUGAAGCUGAAGUGAUAGUUUUUGUUUUGUUUUCUUUUUCUUGGUUCUGGCUGCCAACUGUAAGUUAAAAACUCAAGGCUCGUUGUGAAGCCUAAAAAUAUUCACAAAUAAGCUUUUAAACUGGUGUCUUUCGAAGGAAGGUAGAUACAAAAAGAUUGUGGUAAAAACUGGGGUCAGUGCUCUUGGUGCCUUUUCUAUAAUUGUACUUGUUUUUUAAUUACUUCCUUUCACUGCCAACCUCGGAUUACUGUACAGUAUACGUCUUACCGCUUGUGAUCAGCUUUGACAACAGUGACAGCCCCACAACCAGUAGCCACCUGUACAUUUGUAAACUGACCUGGCUCGAUUUUGUUUUUAAAUGUGUGGGUUAUGUUGCAGCUGUUGCACUCCCCCCGCCCCAAAUACCUAUUAUUUUAAACUAUUUGACCUGUAGGAGGACACUGAGUAAUUUACAAAACACACAAUUGUAUCCAUAAAUGGGAAUAGGAAGGUGAAAGCCAGCUCUUUCAGAAUAUCCCAUAUUAGAACUGAAAUUAGAUACGUUUAUUCCAUUUAUUAUGGUACAAAUAACUGAUCUUUUGACAAGAGUAAUGACCUCAGUGGAUUUGCUUUAACCCUCACGUUUGUUUAUUUAUUCAUUUUUUAUUUAAUGUCUCCCAUGCUACAUUAUUAGCCAAGUAAGUUAGAAACUUCUGGAAGAUAAAGACUUAACAUAGAAUUAGGAGGGUUCUUACGGAGGGGAUAGGAAGUAGGUUCAAAACCUACCGGUGUAGCCCACCAGUACAACUGUGAAUCGUAGGUGAGGUACGAAUGAAUGCACUUCCACUGAAACGAAGCAUUUCUGACCGCUUUUCCUUGGUUGUGAAUCUUAAUUUUGAAUAUAAGAUGAUAGGUAAGCGCAGCUUUCUUGGAUAAUCUGAAUUCCCAAGUGCCAGGAGUAGGACUUCAUUAUAAAAUUAAUAGCUAAUCUUAUUCUGUCUCCUGAAGAUUUAAUUGCUAUUCUUGUUACCCAUUUGAAAUCAGCUGUACUGUGUGAACGAAAAUAAAGACAAUAAACCGAACCCCUCUCUGGCUGCACGGUCGCUUAUGGCAGUUCCACACAGUAGUUGGCGCCCAAUGGGGGGUCCCUGAGACUUGCAUGUAAAACUAGUCUAGAUGUCUUCUUUUUUGUAAGUUUUAUUUUUGUAAUUGUGCAUGUGAAGCAUCAUUGAAUCAAUGGAUCUGUUGAAGAACUCAGCUGCUGGAAACCAUGCAAAAUGUUUUGAAUUGCCCUUAAAAUAUGGAAAAUGUUUUCUGAAUGCUUUAUAUUCUUUCUGCUGUAAAUUAAAAAUGAAGAAAAUUUCCCCAUA